CCUACGGGAGGCAGCAGUGGGGAAUAUUGCGCAAUGGGCGAAAGCCUGACGCAGCGACGCCGCGUGAGGGAUGAAGGUCUUCGGAUCGUAAACCUCUGUCAGCAGGGAAGAACGGUCACUGUGCUAAUCAGCAGUGAAUUGACGGUACCUGCAAAGGAAGCACCGGCUAACUCCGUGCCAGCAGCCGCGGUAAUACGGAGGGUGCGAGCGUUAAUCGGAAUUACUGGGCGUAGAGCGCUCGUAGGCGGUAUGUCAAGUCAAGGGUGAAAUCCCCGCGCUCAACGUGGGAACUGCCUUUGAAACUGGCAAACUGGAGUGUGUGAGAGGAUAGUGGAAUGCCAGGUGUAGGAGUGAAAGCCGUAGAUAUCUGGAGGAACAUCAGUGGCGAAGGCGACUAUCUGGCACAUAACUGACGCUGAGGAGCGAAAGCGUGGGUAGCAAACAGGAUUAGAUACCCCUGUAGUC
rnacentral:rRNA from 1 species